rnacentral:rRNA from 2 species
AUACAUGCAAGUCGAGCGAACUGAUUAGAAGCUUGCUUCUAUGACGUUAGCGGCGGACGGGUGAGUAACACGUGGGCAACCUGCCUGUAAGACUGGGAUAACUUCGGGAAACCGAAGCUAAUACCGGAUAGGAUCUUCUCCUUCAUGGGAGAUGAUUGAAAGAUGGUUUCGGCUAUCACUUACAGAUGGGCCCGCGGUGCAUUAGCUAGUUGGUGAGGUAACGGCUCACCAAGGCAACGAUGCAUAGCCGACCUGAGAGGGUGAUCGGCCACACUGGGACUGAGACACGGCCCAGACUCCUACGGGAGGCAGCAGUAGGGAAUCUUCCGCAAUGGACGAAAGUCUGACGGAGCAACGCCGCGUGAGUGAUGAAGGCUUUCGGGUCGUAAAACUCUGUUGUUAGGGAAGAACAAGUACGAGAGUAACUGCUCGUACCUUGACGGUACCUAACCAGAAAGCCACGGCUAACUACGUGCCAGCAGCCGCGGUAAUACGUAGGUGGCAAGCGUUAUCCGGAAUUAUUGGGCGUAAAGCGCGCGCAGGCGGUUUCUUAAGUCUGAUGUGAAAGCCCACGGCUCAACCGUGGAGGGUCAUUGGAAACUGGGGAACUUGAGUGCAGAAGAGAAAAGCGGAAUUCCACGUGUAGCGGUGAAAUGCGUAGAGAUGUGGAGGAACACCAGUGGCGAAGGCGGCUUUUUGGUCUGUAACUGACGCUGAGGCGCGAAAGCGUGGGGAGCAAACAGGAUUAGAUAC